AUGAUGGAUGUGAUGCCAAAGGUGCUCGAAGAAAUACUACUUGGUCGUGAGUCAACAGGGGUAGAAGGAAUUCCCGAAUAUACGAGAUCUGGUGGUCAUGUCGAAAGCCCAGUCAUUACGGACAACGAUAAGAAGAACAACAACAGUACUUCCUCCCAUCCUAGGCAGAAGAAAUACCACAAGCUGCACGUUGCUCUGCUAUCCCUCUGUGUGACAGCAUGUGACAAACUAGACCUUGAUCUUGAUGCUAUUUCACUGGGAGAAGGAAGAGAUCAAGCUAGAGAUCCAGGAGAAUGUGUCAUGAUCAGCCUUGCUAUGAAGACAGUGCAGUUAAACAGGGAUCUGCUCACCGGCGACAGCUUGACAGCGAUGAAGCUUACCACUAGGAUGGUCAUAGCAGCAAUGAAGAAACUCAAGAGCCAUGGCAAUGCCGCAAAACAAGCUGUUCUGGAGAGCCUCCUGGACUCGCUGUCCAGAGUUUCAGAGACCAUGCUGGAUCUCGAGGGCUGCAUGGUAUUUGCCACCAGGAUGAGCAAGACAAUGCCUGGCAUUGCUGACACCCUCGAUUCCCUCAUGAAACAAGCACGGCAACUCCAUGGCAAAAUUAAUGGACAAGACUCGGAAAUAGUACCAGCUAGCUAG
rnacentral:rRNA from 1 species